rnacentral:rRNA from 1 species
UACGUAGGGUGCAAGCGUUGUCCGGAAUUAUUGGGCGUAAAGAGCUCGUAGGCGGUUUGUCGCGUCUGCUGUGAAAACCUAAGGCUCAACCUUGGGCUUGCAGUGGGUACGGGCAGACUAGAGUGUGGUAGGGGAGACUGGAAUUCCUGGUGUAGCGGUGAAAUGCGCAGAUAUCAGGAGGAACACCGAUGGCGAAGGCAGGUCUCUGGGCAUUAACUGACGCUGAGGAGCGAAAGCAUGGGGAGCGAACAGG